GCCAGGCAUGGUAGUGCAUGCCUGUAAUCCCCUGGGCUCAGGAGGCUGAGGCAGGAGGAUCACGAGUUCAAAGCCAGCCUCAGCAAAAGUGAGGUGCUAAGCAACUCAGUGAGACCCUGUCUCUA
rnacentral:sRNA from 1 species